AUGUCACCUAUCUCAAGACCACCGAAUACUGCUAUCCAAAGGGUGGAAGAUCACAUUGAUACAUCAAACUGGACUUGGAAGCAUGAGGUGGUCCGGGAGAAUUUCAUUGCCCCGGAUGCUGAGGCCAUUCCUAAUAUUCCUAUUCGGCAAGGGGGAGGGGAUGAUUACCUUGCUUGGGCAUUCGAAAGAUCAGGCAACUACACUGUGAAGUCGGCGUACCGUGCUCUUGUGAAUCAGAACGAGCGUUUGGCUCUAGAUGAAGGGACGGCUACCGGUACCUUCAUUGAUGAACAACAGAUGUGGAAAGCCUUGUGGAAAUUGAAUGUUAUCCCAAAAGUGAGAGUUUUUUGGUGGAGAGUUCUUCGUGGGAUUAUUCCAGAUGAAGCUACUCUCAACUAUAGACACAUUGCAGAAAUUCGCAGAUGCAAAGUUUGUCUUGCUAUGGAUGAGGAUCUAAAGCAUGCGUUGAUACAUUGCUCGCAUGCUAAGCGCUUUUGGGAGGAGGCGUGUGCAUGGUUCGGGCUCCGGCUUCCACGGCUACACCCGGACUUGUGGGCUCGCGACAUUUUAUGUGACCCGCGCUUUACGGAUGAUGACCGUGCAAAGAUCACCACUAUUAUGUGGUCUAUCUGGCAUUCCAGGAAUCAUAUCAAGCACGGUGAAGAAGGUCGAGACCCUACAGUGACGAUUCGAGCUACGAAGGAGGCUAUUGCACUUCUUCACUUGCCACGCAAGGAUACACUGGUCUUGCCUGGCUAUGGUGGCGGCCUCCUGAAGAUGGGUUUGUGA
rnacentral:rRNA from 1 species